rnacentral:rRNA from 1 species
UACGAAGGGGGCUAGCGUUGCUCGGAAUUACUGGGCGUAAAGGGCGCGUAGGCGGAUGUCUAAGUUGGGGGUGAAAGCCCGGGGCUCAACCUCGGAAUAGCCUUCAAUACUGGAUAUCUUGAGUUCGGGAGAGGUGAGUGGAAUGCCGAGUGUAGGAGGUAGUAAUUCGAUAUGGAUAGUACGCCGGAACACCGAGAUGGCGA